rnacentral:rRNA from 1 species
GAUUAAGUUAUUAAGGGCGCACGGUGGAUGCCUUGGCACUAGAAGCCGAUGAAGGACGUUACUAACGACGAUAUGCUUUGGGGAGCUGUAAGUAAGCUUUGAUCCAGAGAUUUCCGAAUGGGGAAACCCAACAUGAGUUAUGUCAUGUUAUCGAUAUGUGAAUACAUAGCAUAUCAGAAGGCACACCCGGAGAACUGAAACAUCUUAGUACCCGGAGGAAGAGAAAGAAAAUUCGAUUCCCUUAGUAGCGGCGAGCGAAACGGGAAGAGCCCAAACCAACAAGCUUGCUUGUUGGGGUUGUAGGACACUCUAUACGGAGUUACAAAGGACGACAUUAGACGAAUCAUCUGGAAAGAUGAAUCAAAGAAGGUAAUAAUCCUGUAGUCGAAAAUGUUGUCUCUCUUGAGUGGAUCCUGAGUACGACGGAGCACGUGAAAUUCCGUCGGAAUCUGGGAGGACCAUCUCCUAAGGCUAAAUACUCUCUAGUGACCGAUAGUGAACCAGUACCGUGAGGGAAAGGUGAAAAGCACCCCGGAAGGGGAGUGAAAUAGAACCUGAAACCGUGUGCUUACAAGUAGUCAGAGCCCGUUAAUGGGUGAUGGCGUGCCUUUGUAGAAUGAACCGGCGAGUUACGAUUUGAUGCAAGGUUAAGCAGUAAAUGUGGAGCCGUAGCGAAAGCGAGUCUGAAUAGGGCGUUUAGUAUUUGGUCGUAGACCCGAAACCAGGUGAUCUACCCUUGGUCAGGUUGAAGUUCAGGUAACACUGAAUGGAGGACCGAACCGACUUACGUUGAAAAGUGAGCGGAUGAACUGAGGGUAGCGGAGAAAUUCCAAUCGAACCUGGAGAUAGCUGGUUCUCUCCGAAAUAGCUUUAGGGCUAGCCUCAAGUGAUGAUUAUUGGAGGUAGAGCACUGUUUGGACGAGGGGCCCCUCUCGGGUUACCGAAUUCAGACAAACUCCGAAUGCCAAUUAAUUUAACUUGGGAGUCAGAACAUGGGUGAUAAGGUCCGUGUUCGAAAGGGAAACAGCCCAGACCACCAGCUAAGGUCCCAAAAUAUAUGAAGUGGAAAAGGAUGUGGCGUUGCCCAGACAACUAGGAUGUUGGCUUAGAAGCAGCCAUCAUUUAAAGAGUGCGUAAUAGCUCACUAGUCGAGUGACACUGCGCCGAAAAUGUACCGGGGCUAAACAUAUUACCGAAGCUGUGGAUUGUCCUUUGGACAAUGGUAGGAGAGCGUUCUAAGGGCGUUGAAGCAUGAUCGUAAGGACAUGUGGAGCGCUUAGAAGUGAGAAUGCCGGUGUGAGUAGCGAAAGACGGGUGAGAAUCCCGUCCACCGAUUGACCAAGGUUUCCAGAGGAAGGCUCGUCCGCUCUGGGUUAGUCGGGUCCUAAGCUGAGGCCGACAGGCGUAAGCGAUGGAUAACAGGUUGAUAUUCCUGUACCACCUAUAAUCGUUUUAAUCGAUGGGGGGACGCAGUAGGAUAGGCGAAGCGUGCGAUUGGAUUGCACGUCUAAGCAGUAAGGCUGAGUAUUAGGCAAAUCCGGUACUCGUUAAGGCUGAGCUGUGAUGGGGAGAAGACAUUGUGUCUUCGAGUCGUUGAUUUCACACUGCCGAGAAAAGCCUCUAGAUAGAAAAUAGGUGCCCGUACCGCAAACCGACACAGGUAGUCAAGAUGAGAAUUCUAAGGUGAGCGAGCGAACUCUCGUUAAGGAACUCGGCAAAAUGACCCCGUAACUUCGGGAGAAGGGGUGCUCUUUAGGGUUAACGCCCAGAAGAGCCGCAGUGAAUAGGCCCAAGCGACUGUUUAUCAAAAACACAGGUCUCUGCUAAACCGUAAGGUGAUGUAUAGGGGCUGACGCCUGCCCGGUGCUGGAAGGUUAAGAGGAGUGGUUAGCUUCUGCGAAGCUACGAAUCGAAGCCCCAGUAAACGGCGGCCGUAACUAUAACGGUCCUAAGGUAGCGAAAUUCCUUGUCGGGUAAGUUCCGACCCGCACGAAAGGCGUAACGAUUUGGGCACUGUCUCAACGAGAGACUCGGUGAAAUCAUAGUACCUGUGAAGAUGCAGGUUACCCGCGACAGGACGGAAAGACCCCGUGGAGCUUUACUGUAGCCUGAUAUUGAAAUUCGGCACAGCUUGUACAGGAUAGGUAGGAGCCUUUGAAACGUGAGCGCUAGCUUACGUGGAGGCGCUGGUGGGAUACUACCCUAGCUGUGUUGGCUUUCUAACCCGCACCACUUAUCGUGGUGGGAGACAGUGUCAGGCGGGCAGUUUGACUGGGGCGGUCGCCUCCUAAAAGGUAACGGAGGCGCUCAAAGGUUCCCUCAGAAUGGUUGGAAAUCAUUCAUAGAGUGUAAAGGCAUAAGGGAGCUUGACUGCGAGACCUACAAGUCGAGCAGGGUCGAAAGACGGACUUAGUGAUCCGGUGGUUCCGCAUGGAAGGGCCAUCGCUCAACGGAUAAAAGCUACCCCGGGGAUAACAGGCUUAUCUCCCCAAGAGUUCACAUCGACGGGGAGGUUUGGCACCUCGAUGUCGGCUCAUCGCAUCCUGGGGCUGUAGUCGGUCCCAAGGGUUGGGCUGUUCGCCCAUUAAAGCGGUACGCGAGCUGGGUUCAGAACGUCGUGAGACAGUUCGGUCCCUAUCCGUCGUGGGCGUAGGAAAUUUGAGAGGAGCUGUCCUUAGUACGAGAGGACCGGGAUGGACAUACCUCUGGUGUACCAGUUGUCGUGCCAACGGCAUAGCUGGGUAGCUAUGUGUGGACGGGAUAAGUGCUGAAAGCAUCUAAGCAUGAAGCCCCCUCAAGAUGAGAUUUCCCAACUUCGGUUAUAAGAUCCCUCAAAGAUGAUGAGGUUAAUAGGUUCGAGGUGGAAGCAUGGUGACAUGUGGAGCUGACGAAUACUAAUCGAUCGAAGACUUAAUCAA